ACAGCAGCCGCCACGGGAAUACGUAGGUGGCAAGCGUUGUCCGGAAUUAUUGGGCGUAAAGCGCGCGCAGGCGGAUCAGUCAGUCUGUCUUAAAAGUUCGGGGCUUAACCCCGUGAUGGGAUGGAAACUGCUGAUCUAGAGUAUCGGAGAGGAAAGUGGAAUUCCUAGUGUAGCGGUGAAAUGCGUAGAUAUUAGGAAGAACACCAGUGGCGAAGGCGACUUUCUGGACGAAAACUGACGCUGAGGCGCGAAAGCCAGGGGAGCGAACGGGAUUAGAUACCCCCGUAGUCCCUGUCUCUUAUACA
rnacentral:rRNA from 1 species